CGCGAGGUAGAGCAAUUGGCAGCUCGUCGGGCUCAUAACCCGAAGGUUCUAGGUUCGAGUCCUAGCCUCGCAACCA
rnacentral:tRNA from 1 species